rnacentral:tRNA from 1 species
GCGCCGGUGGUGUAAGGCGUAACAUCCUGGCCGGAAAGCAGAAGGUGCUGGUUCGACUCCCGCCUGACGCA